GAGGGUAUAGCUCAAGUACUAGAGCACAUGCCUAGCCAACACAAGGUCCUGGGUUCAAUCCCCAGUACCUCCU
rfam:Camelus ferus unplaced genomic scaffold scaffold770, whole genome shotgun sequence.